UGUUAUUUUUGUCCCUAGAUAAAAAAUAAUUGGACUAACCAGGACUUGGUUUUAAAUAUUUUAAAUUGGGACUCAAUUACGAUACCCCAAUGUUGCUUACGUUCGUUAAGGCAAAUAGUAUAGUGUCGUUUCUGUAAAGUAAUGUUGGAGUAAAUGGUAUCCUUGUUGAUUCUACAGUACUGCCAAUAAGUAAUCUUAGAACUGGUAUAAGGAAACAGGGAGAAAAUCCUGGAGUUGUCUGAACUAGAUCAACUGCUGUAACCUCUACAUAGGUUUUAACAUAGAAUAUAUUGUCAACUAUUUUAUCGGUAAGCUUUAACAAUUAAGAACUGUCAUCAAUAACAUCCAUCCAAACAACAGCCUGUCCCUGCACAACAUAGCACAAAUGCCACAAAUAACUAACCAGACUUUAAAUUCCGCCAUGCAUUUUUUCAGUCUAAAGUGUAAAAGUUUCGUUUGUAAAUCUGGCUGACUUUUGUGGUCAGUGUUCGUCAAUUAUUGACAUCUAAAGGAAUGGUUCGAUAACUUAUAUUGAGAUUCUGAAACUUCUCUUCGUCUUCGUCUUCGUCUUUUGUGAAGAUGUUGGAAAAAUUGCGUAAUCAACAACACUAGACGCGUGAUUAAUACCUCACAUAAUAAAUCUAUAUUUAACAAAACCGAAGAGUGGAAGGUGUUAUAAUUCUUAUUC